rnacentral:tRNA from 1 species
UCCCAGGUGGCUCAGAUGGUAAAGAAUCUGCCUGCAAUGCAGGAGACCCGGGUUCGAUCCCUGGGUUGGGAA